rnacentral:misc_RNA from 1 species
GCCCCGCUAUGCCAUCUGCUUACCUCAGCUGCCAGAUACUUAAAUGCAACUAACUAAUAUAGGUUUUGCAUUUCUCCAUGGCCAUUCACGUACUGCCUGCUNUGUUCUAAUUCAGCAAUUUCUUUGACCACCUGAGCCUUAUCUUCCUCAAAUUGCUCAUCUUCUCUAUCCAUCUUAAAGUCAGCCAAGAAUCGCAGAAGCUUGCUUCUAUUUGCAAUGAGGAAACAAUUUCAGGAGGUUUAUUUUGAUUGGCAGCAAAUAGCUUGAAGACAUGAAAUGCAUCUGUCUGGAUGUUCUUGCUUGAUUCCCUUAGAAGAUUCAUUAGAAUCCGCAAGUUAUCUUUGGAGUUCACAUAUCGUACCAUGACCACAGAAUUUGAACGAUCAAGUAAAAUUUGACUCAAUAGCUUAACAGCUUGUCGUUUGGUGAUAUAACUGUCAGAUUCCAGCAGCUUUGAAUUAAAAUCCUGAAAGAACUAGAACCAACAAAAUUUUCGGAGAAAAGUUAAACUGUCAUAAAUCUAAGUAUUAAAAAUU